AUGAUGUUAGUGGCUGUGACAUCUGUCACCCCACUAAUUGCCAGGUUGAUUCAGCUGAUCUGGCUGCCUAGGCAAGUGUUCCCUUGCUCCCUCACCACUAGAUGUGUGACCCUCCAGAAGCUGUGGCACUCAGGAGAAGAGGACGACCUUCCCUGACAUAGGAAACGGUUCUUCAAUCAAGGGUAUAGAGUGGCUGUGCUACCUUCUAGAACCUCCAAACAGACUCUCAGGGACCAUUUAUAGGACAACAUAGGAUUGUCGAGCUUCCAAGAUUCCAGACACAUCCACAUGAGGCGCAGCACAUGGUGGUCUGCCUUUAAGA
rnacentral:snRNA from 1 species